AGGGCUGUAGUUAAAUAUAACAUUUGGGUUGCAUUCAAAAAGUAUCAUAUAGAUCUGCCUUA
rnacentral:tRNA from 1 species